AGUUUAAGUUCUGUUUUAGAGGAUUAUACUUAAUUCUCAAUACCAUCGUUCCUUCUCGACUGUCUUCAAUUUUUCAAUAUCUAGUUAACUUUUUUCUCAAGUCUACAAGAAAUUAACGAAUGAGAGAACAAUAUCAACCUGAAGUUAACAAUUAUAAAAUGUGUAAAACCGUUUGCUCCGUUACUUUCCGUUUUCCCCAUGUUACCUCUGGCCGGGACACUUCUUGGUAGAUUUUUAAACUUUGUCUUCGUGGAUUUCUCCGCCAUUGUUUUUCCCUGGAAUCUGCACAAUCCUGCAAUCAGCUGACUAUAUAAAAUCAGCUGACGAAACUAAAGCAAAGACAACAUUUAGAAGAUAAUCGGUGUUUUUCUUGAAAACCAACCAGACAAACUCUUAUUGUCGAAAAUGUUUUGGGUAUGUCCAAACCCUAAAUAUGUCCCAGGGGGUGUUGAAAACUUCUGGACUAAACCCCCUACUGAGAGCAACCUCCAGGCAUCUUCAAGCACGAUGCAUGAGCAGACCGGAGUAGAUAAAGCUGGGACGUUUUUCUCCGGGUUCUUCUGCAAUCAUGAAAUGGUUGGUCCGAAGAGAGACAAAGAGAAGAAAUGCAUGAUGGUGUUACCAUUUCAACACCAAGGAUACGAUUUCAAGGAUAUGUUCCAAAUUCAAUGCGUUUGAUUAGAAAACCGUAAUGAAUAAGAAUUGUUAAACAUGUAAUUGAUUUUUUUUUACAAUAUAAUGUUUUAAUCUGAA